rnacentral:rRNA from 1 species
GUGAACGCUGGCGGUAGGCCUAACCCAUGCAAGUCGAACGGCAGCACAGUAAGAGCUUGCUCUUACGGGUGGCGAGUGGCGGACGGGUGAGGAAUACAUCGGAAUCUACUUUUUCGUGGGGGAUAACGUAGGGAAACUUACGCUAAUACCGCAUACGACCUACGGGUGAAAGCAGGGGAUCUUCGGACCUUGCGCGAUUGAAUGAGCCGAUGUCGGAUUAGCUAGUUGGCGGGGUAAAGGCCCACCAAGGCGACGAUCCGUAGCUGGUCUGAGAGGAUGAUCGGCCACACUGGAACUGAGACACGGUCCAGACUCCUACGGGAGGCAGCAGUGGGGAAUAUUGGACAAUGGGCUCAAGCCUGAUCCAGCCAUACCGCGUGGGUGAAGAAGGCCUUCGGGUUGUAAAGCCCUUUUGUUGGGAAAGAAAAGCAGCAGGUUAAUACCCCGCUGUUCUGACGGUACCCAAAGAAUAAGCACCGGCUAACUUCGUG